UCAUUUCUACUUUUACUUGAAAAAAGUUUUUUUUUUUUUUUUUAAAUCUUUGACCAAGAACAGUGUAAUUUAUUUAUUUAUCAUUGAAAGCAACAGCAUGUAAUUGAAGUAGAAAAUCCACAGUGCAUUACCAAUUUAUGCGCGUAAAAAUAUAGGAGGAAUUAACCACAUGCCACACAGUUUCCAAAAGUGCCCAUCAUCAAAACAUACAAUUUUGGCGAUGUGGCCAGACCUGAUUGGGCGUCCUGAAAAGUGCCGAAACGCGAAACCACAGUCAACAAAAAUCUGCCCACUAGAUCCCAAAUCGGCGAGUCUGGCAGCACUACUAGACCACGUUGCAGCAGCAUCACACGCGCACGUGCAUCCACUGUUAUGCUGACCUGAGCCCAAACUCCGAUGGCACACCCGUAAUUAACCGAUAUCCCAAGGGCCAUUCCAACCCCCCACCACACCAGACGCGCAAAGUAAACUUAAUUUCCUGAGCGUGGGCCGCUGUUUCAGGUUACAAUUACCUGUGGCGUUAGCCCAGAAGAGCCGGUGGCAGCCCACGCGUCGCAACGUAACUGGUCUGUGGCGGGUAUAAAUAAUACCCACCCCGGCUGUUGUCAUAGAUUUCAUAGGGUUAGAGUAUAAGAGCCAUCUAUAAAAAUAAAAAAUAAAAACAACCUCAAAACAGACGUAUUUUGCUUUGCUUUUGCUCUGAGAGGGAGGCUUGUGUUGUGGGCGUUGAUUCAGUUACUGGCGGUCUCUAAUUCGCUUGGUGCAGGUCGGGAACUGCUUCGCGUUUAGGGCCUUUUUUUCGUACAAGACCUAUGAGCCAGGUGGCGCCAUGGUAUUGGUCGGUGGGUGCGAAAUGGGUCCCGCCUUGCAUCAACUGAAUCGGAGACCGCGGUGAAGAGAGGGGUUGGGUUGUUUGGUGGUUCAUGGAUCUCGCGUUUUUUGCUUUUGCUCGUUUCUCAGAUCUCAUCUCAGCUAAUCCCAUGAAAUCAGUCGAUCCCCGAAAAUCAGCAUCGAUGGACUCUUCAUCACAAGAUCAGCGGCAUAUCCUCUAAGAAUUGAUUUGUAAUUUAUUCUGAAAUAUAUGAGAUUAAUGCUAGACUUGGGAAAGUCCCAAAAUCAUCUUGGUCAGUUCAAUUGCUCUAUACUUCUCUCAUUUUUCGUCUUCCUUCUCGAGUUUGUUUUCUUUCAUCAAUCGCUUGUGCUAAAAAAAAAAAAUGGUUUGUAAUCAUCUUUCUUACAUUUUUAGAGAACCUCUAUGUAAUCUGCUGUGAUUCUUAUUAUUCAAUAUUUCCUUUUUACAAG